GGGUGUUCCGCUCCAAUCGUUGAGCGGGCAGGACGAGCGUAGGUCGGGCCGCCAGCG
rnacentral:ncRNA from 2 species